CCAAGAAAUCGCCAGAGGCAGCAAAUAAACUAACGCAUAUCUGGGCUCCUAAUCUUUCCCCACCAUGCAGCGAAAACCGGGAAGAUGAAUUUUCCGUUACCACCGUCUCUGUCUUUGUUUGGUUAUUCGACAUGUUGCUCUGCUUUCAUUUCCUCUUGCUCUUUCUGUUGCCGUCCCUGGGAGCUCCAGAGAAAUGGAAAGUAGUAACUGGGACCAUUGGUUCAUCGGUUUUUCUGGAUCCUGAACACCAAGGUGACCUCAGCAGGAGUGAAAUUUUAUGGACCUUCACUGGCAGCAACAAAAGCCUUGUUACUAUUUUGGAUUACGUUCCAGAUGAACCUGUGGAGAAACCAUAUGAACAAUUCAGAUCCCGUUUACAGUUUAACACUUCUACUGGCUGUCUGCUGGUAGACAGGAUAAAACCUGAGGAUCAAGGUGUUUAUAAUUUUGUUGUAGAUGAGAGAAGAACAACUACAAUUGAAUUGCUUCUGUUCUCUAAGCUGUCGAAAACUUUCAUAAGGAGCUAUAGCGUCCCUGGCAACACCAUCCAACUCACCUGUGAGGUUGAUGGAAAUCCUCAUAAAUAUGAAUGGCAGAAAAAUGGAGGGAAUAUCUCACAGCGUCACUGGUUAAUUAAUGAAAGCAGAAGCCUCAUCAUCUUGACUCACUUGACAAAUGUAUGUGGAACGUACACCUGUGUUGCCUCCAAUCCUGUCAGCUCUGUCCAGGCAAAUUACACCUUAAAUCCCCCAGGUAUUUCUGGUGAAGACUCUAUAAUUAUUAUUGCGUCAAUCACAGGACUGGUAUCAUCUGUGGUAUCUUAUAGUGGAUUCUUGCUUCUGUCAUGGUUGGAGAAGAAAUCAAACCAAGUGUUUCAGAGCCUCAUUAAUUGCAACAUUUUGUCUGUUGUUGGUGCCUUCGUUGCCCUCAUCUCCUGGAUUGUGAUUAAAGGUGCUGUCUUUAUAUCUGUUGUUGCAUUAUGCACUGUCUCUGCCCUGUUUUUGGCCAUAAUUACACCAACUGACAUUCUGAAAUUUGGCUGCUCCUUUAAAGGAUCUCAACCUUUCAUUGCCUUGAGUGGUUUCAUUAUAAUCCCCAUUUCAAUCACUGUCCUAAAGGAAGAGAUUCAGCAAAACAAUCAAAGUUGUCACACCACCAUCUUGACAUGGAGCAUACCGAUUGCAUUAUUGGUCAGCUGUGUUAUUAUAAUGUCUGUGUUUUUUGCAGCAUAUCGCUGUAAAGAUCACAGAAACAGAAAUGCAAGCAUUGAAGUAAGACAGCAGAAGUGCUUGAGAAGAUGAAAGAACUGAAGUCGUCUGGACCAGAUGGACUACACCCAAGGUUCUGAAAGAGGAUACUGAAGACUUAUAAGAUUUCAGUAUUAUUGACAUAGAGCUGGUUGCUGCAGCCGAUUCACUUCAGACUCUUUAAAAUGGAUAUGACGGGUAUCAAUUUUGGAACUGGGUACCAGUGGAAAAACUUUGUCCAUCAAUAGAGCAAAUGCAUGCCUUCAUUCCUAUGGAAUGGCACUGUUAUUUGAAACAUAUUAUAACAGCCCUCUUUAUGAUUUCAGUAUUGUUUACUUUCAAAGCACUGUUAGGAUACAUUACUUGGUAGGUCUGAUAUAAGAAGCACCCUCACCAAACUAAGAGUUCCUGACCAGAGAAUCAAUCUUGAAAUGGUGCGGCAGUCUUUCCACAUUGUGCUGGAGUUUGAUGUGAACAGAAAAUCAAUGGAACAGUAAUUGUAAGACUUGCACUUGACGACUGCCAUUUGGUAGACCUGAGGACGGAAGUCGAUACAGAGUCUAUAGAUACCAGAAUCUGGAGCAAAAGACGUAAACUGCUUACCAAACUCAGAGGAACAAGCAGAAUCUGUGGAGGCAAUGCAGCAGUCUAAUUUUCAGAUUAAGAUCCUGCAUCAGGACUGAGAGUGCUGACCGAGAAAUAGUUGCCAUUUCAGAAGGCUUGUGCAUGAUAGUUGAUGACAAAUAAUGGAUGGAAAAGGUAACAAGGGAAGAGAGAAAACAGAUGUAUUGGUGGGGUAUAAAUGAUCUGAAAUUAGAAAAUUCCAUAAUUAUACCACGAUAAGUUACCCAAGUGAAGUAGUAAAUAUUUUCAUUGGAUUACAGUAGUGAUUUGUGUUUUCUUGUGUCUCUUUGUUUUUGCAUGUAGAGUAUAGUUUUAGCUUUCAUUACGUAUUUGUUUGUAUAACCACUUGUAAUAUUUCAGACUGUGUUACAGCAUAAAGGAAGAACAUAAGUUUAAGUUCUUUAUUGUUUUGAUUUUACUUGCUGGAUACUUGAAGCUCCAAAAUGACACCAGUGACCAUCAGUGAUGUCCUGGAAACAUUUCAUUAAAUUAUUACUACUUCUCCUUCUUUUAAAUUUGCUUCUAAUACUAAACUGUGUGCCUAUAAUUUACAGUUUGACAAUUUGUUUUUGGGAGAAUUGAGCAAUCUGGUGUCUUUGCUGUCUCCAGGGGAAUUUGCUGUGUUUGAGAAUGGAAUGUGCUGCAAAACGGCGAAAUGCGAACCCAUGAUCGGCUCCAUUAAUCACCAAUCUCACCAAUUUAAGCAUUGAAUAAGAUUGAAAUCAACACGGAUGAAAGCAGAAGGCAAACGGGUGUUCAGUGCUUUCUGCCUGCAUUGACCAGUCUCCCUCUCCCUCUCACUCAUUACUGCAGGAGUCUUGGGUCUUUUGCAUGGUUUGAUUGGUGUAGAUUGAGGCUGGCUCUCUUUUUAAAACAGGGUCUAUGGAUGAUGUUACAUGUGCUUCUGGUUACUUUUUUUUAAUUGCUCUUUAGCCCGAUUUUGAUUGGAAUUAUUUGACACAGACUGGCUCUGCAGCUGCAGUCAGUGAAUGAUAUUGUGCUAAAUUGAAUUGAACUGAACUAAACUGUUUCGAGGACUCUGUGGUUUGAGAUUCAAUAUUCUGUCUGUUAUUUGCUCAUUUUUUUGUGUCAUUUGUGUGAUUUUUUCUUUUUAUGGCGUGCUGGGCGUUUGAUGUUUCCUCUGAAUGAACUCCAUAGUGUU